CAGUAGCCACGGUAAUACGAAGGGGGCUAGCGUUGCUCGGAAUCACUGGGCGUAAAGGGUGCGUAGGCGGGUCUUUAAGUCAGGGGUGAAGUCCUGGAGCUCAACUCCAGAACUGCCUUUGAUACUGAAGAUCUUGAGUUCGGGAGAGGUGAGUGGAACUGCGAGUGUAGAGGUGAAAUUCGUAGAUAUUCGCAAGAACACCAGUGGCGAAGGCGGCUCACUGGCCCGAUACUGACGCUGAGGCACGAAAGCUAGGGGAGCAAAUGGGAUUAGAUACCCGUGUAGUCCCUGUCUCUUAUAC
rnacentral:rRNA from 1 species